AAAGAAAAUUCUCUUCUUAACCGUUAAGGAGUUUUAGACUAUUAACUACUCAGUUGCGACCCCCCCCCCCCCCCCCAACAAAAAAUCCUAGCUACGGCCCUGUCCUCAACCAUGUACUAGUAACUGUAAAAUGUGUUGAGAGCAUCAUUAAAUAAAACAUUUCCUUCCUUCCUUCCAUAUGACCUAUAUGGUAUAAUUGUAAUUAAAAAUGUGUUAAGUGUGUUGUUAAUUAAAACAUUUUCUUUUUCUUUUUUCCCACUCUUGACAAAGUGUCAAAAUAAGCAUUUAUUAAGACACACAGUAGUGGAAAUGAAAAAUGUGCCGAGGUGUCGACAACAUCUGCAUAAAUCCUGAAAUUAUUUAUUGAAUUCAAGGCAGGGAGCCUGUAUGUUGUUUUUUAGUUUAUUAGUUUUAAAACAGUUGGUUUUCACGUUAUAAAAAUAAAAUAAUUUUAACGUGGAAAAAAUUAUGUUUAUUUUGUUCUUUACAUUUUGGGAUAUUCAUAAAGGAUGUUAUGUAUUUUUAUUUUUUGUUUGAGCAAAGAUUUGCUUUUAAGUUCAUUUUAGGAAUUUUAAGAUCUUUUUCUUUUCAAGUUUGUUUCUGUGUACAUAUAGAUCUACCUGUAUGUAUUUUUAUGCAGAUUUGCUUCUAAUUAAAAAAAAUAUUUUGACUUAACAGGUUUUCUGCUAAUGUCAUGGGUUUUUUUUUUAGAUCAUUGCUAUGAAUAUUGUGUGGAAGAUAAAAGUUGUAGUGUCUAAAUAAAUCCAUACAUACAUACAUGUCCAUUAAUGUUCAUAUUGGGUGGUGAAGCUUUUUAUAUACAUGUAUUGAGAAAAUAUUUUAUUUUAAAGGACGAAGUAGAACGCAAUUAAGCUAUUAAAUAUUCAGGCCAUUCUAGUCCACCCACUUGCAUUGGUAUGGUUGUUUUUCUACUUUUUGGGGGGAGGGGGUUGAAGAUUGGUUGUAUGUAAUACUAAUACAUAAAGUGUUAUGGUACCUUUUGUAUAUGUUUAACAUGACAUAGAACUUCGAAUUGCUUCAGGAAAAUUUGACAAUACAGCUUCUGUCUGUGAUACGUGUAUACUGUUAAGUGUUUAUUCCACCUUUUUUGUUGCUAAAACAUUUCCAAGUUUAUCAUGUACAUAUAUUUGUACAACAUACUGCUACUUAAAUCAUGAGAUCUUACAUCUAGUGCUCAUUUUAAUUUUGUAUCGGCAAAGAUAUAUUUACAAUCAAGUGUUGGGCUGAGAUUGAGGUAUGUUUAGAAUCCGCCAAGAGAUUGGCUAAGAUUGAUGCAUAUUGCAUAGUGAUUGGUUAAGAUUACGGUAUGUUUACAAUCUUGUGAUUGGCUAAGAAUGAGAUGUUUAGAAUCCGCCAAGAGAUUGGCUAAGAAUGAGAUGUUUAGAAUUGGCUAAGAUUGAUGCAUAUUGCAUAGUGAUUGGUUAAGAUUACGGUAUGUUUACAAUCUUGUGAUUGGCUAAGAUUUAGGUAUGUUUUACAAUCUUGUAAUUGGUCAAUUUUUAGGUAUGUUUACAAUCUAGUGAUUGGUUAAGAUUACGGUAUGUUCACAAUCUUGUGAUUGGCUAAGAUUUAGGUAUGUUUUACAAUCUUGUAAUUGGCCAAUUUUUAGGUAUGUUUACAAUCUUGUAAUUGGCCAAGUUUGAGGUAUAUUUACCAGGGCUUCUAGAUUAUGGUAGCCCCACUCCCAUGGCUAGUGAUAUUCAAUGUUGGGCUUGUAAAUAACAACUAUUGCCAUGCCCAACGGCUAGUGAAUUUUUGUGAAUAUCCUGCCCCCACCACAACCCCCAGAGUUAAGUGUUUUUAAGCUCUAUUUCCCUCUUUAGGUGACAUAUCCAAUUAUUACUAUUAUUUAGAAAAUUGUAUUAUCUUAACAUAAAGUAGAGCUAGUGAAUUUUUAAUAGUGGCUAGUAAAUUUUUUAAAUCACUGAUCCUAUGGCUAGUGGAUUUUAUAUAAAUUCUAGAAGCCCUGUUUACAAUCUUGUGAUGGCUAACAUUGAGAUAUGUUUACAAUCUAGUGAUUGGCUAAGAUUGAAUAAUAUUUACAAUGAAGUAAUAAUACUAAUUGGUUAAGAUUCAGACAUGUUUACAGUCUAAUGAUUCGGGAAGAGGUAUGUUUACAAUCAAGUGAUUGACUAAGAUUGAGGCAUGUUUACAAUCUAGUGAUUGGCAAAGAGUGAAGUAUGUUUACAAUCUAGUGAUUAGUUAAGAUUGAGGCAUGUUUACGAUCUGGUGAUUAGGAAACGUGUUAGUGUUAAUGAAAGUUUCUAAGUAAUAAUGCAGUGUUUACAAAAAGAUUCUGUGACUUUUGUUUGAAUUACAUUUAACAAGUUUUGGAAAUAAUAGCAAUAGCCAUCUUUCAGUCCAAUUUGUGUAAUUAAAAUGUACACUCGUUGGUACCAUUUCGUUUUCAAUUAAUGCAUUUUUACCCAAUACUCAUUGCUGUAUAUUUGCUGUACGUGCAUUUAUUCAUGCAUCAGGUUCGACUAAAUUCCCCUAUCUUUUUGAAGGGGAUUAAAUCAUUUAUUAAAUACAGUAUUUAGUGCUCAAAAUACUACAUACAUACCUGCAAACGUGCAGGUAAAAGAUACACAAUGAAGGUAGUUAUUUGAACAGUAUGUAAUCUUUACAUCCUGGCCACAUCCUGGUGAACACAGGAAUAUUUUUUGACAAUUUAGAACCACAAUAAAAUGAUCUCUUUAAUACUAGCAAGAAAUAGUGAGAUAGAAUUUAUUUUUAAAAUUCGUGUCUGCACUGCCUUAAUUCCUAGCUUGUACCACAUUUUAUUAUGUGCAGUACACAACAAACCAUAAAGUCUACUAAGAGCUGUCCCAAAAAUCAUUAAAUUGGCACAAAAUUAAAUAAAAAACGUGACCAUAUGGUUAAAAAAAUUGUGGCAGACCCACCAGCUAACAGUAUACUACAUAGAAUCUUGUUGGGUCAAAAUCCAAAGUGUACAGGUCUACAUGUAACUUUGAAUGUCUCGUUAAAUUAGACCAUGUCUGCUAUUAUCGAGAUAUAUGACAGGACUUGUUGCAAUAAAAUAUUGCUUUAUCUGGCCAGUAAAUUCCUGUAAUUUAAUUUAACUAGUGUCAAUGUACUAGCUACUAUUGUGCUUGAAACCUGUGCGGGGUCCUACUAAAAAUCGAUGACAAUAUUUGUUGUGGAACCAGAGUAGUGCAAUAUGCUUCCAAAAUUAGAAGCUUAACUACCCAUUUUUUUUUUUUUUUUAUGUACUUUAAGGACGGUUUUAGUAAUUACAGUUGAAUCCCGUCGUCUCAAACCCUGUUGGGGCUCAAGAAAGUGUUGGACCCAUCGGGUAGUUCGACGUAACCAUUUGGGACUUUGUUUUUGGUUUGAGCGUUGCAGUAUAUUCGACCCAAUGAGAUUCUACUGUAUAUCCAUGGUAUACAUGUUGAUUGAAACACUGUGUAGCAGUUUUAGCCAUACAUUCUUACAUGUAUUAUUGUCAAUUAAGAUCUGUUUUGAUUUAGUAGUAUAACCCCAGCAGGUUUAAGACUACAUAAUAUAUUGUUGUAAUAACAUGACUAAUAUGUAUAUUUAUUGUGUCUUGUUAAAUUCCACAUACUGGUGUGAAUUAACUGAUCCCUUUGUUGCAAAAAUGCAGCUCAUGGGUCGUGUUUUAUGACGUGAUCUUAGUGCUAAACUCACCUUAAGUGCAUAAGAUAGACACUUGAGUGGAAUUUAGUUACCAGAUCGCUGCGUAAAAUGGGUCCCAGGUUUUUAUUUACCAUAUAGUCAUUCCACACAAUAAGUUGUAUACAUACAUGCAAUAUGUAUAUCGAAUUUACUUUUGAAGACAGACAUGGCUUACUACAAUGUGCAAUAAAAAUCUUCGUCUUUCAGUUAAUA
rnacentral:lncRNA from 1 species